rnacentral:rRNA from 1 species
AAAAGGAUGCGGUAACCUUGACCGUAAUAAUGUAGCAUAAUAAUUUGCCAUUUAAUUGAUGGAUAGUAUGAAUGGUUAAACGAAUAUUACACUGUCUAAAAAAUAGAUUUCAUAAAAAUGAAAUAAUAGUAAAGAUGCUAUUUAAAAUUGUAAGACGAAAAGACCCUAUAGAGCUUAACUAUAAUCUUUCUUUCAAUAAUGAAAAUUUCAUAAAAUAGAAAGAGGGGUAGUUUAGUUGGGGCGACUGUUUUCUAAAAAAAACGAAAAUAAGCUAUAUUAAUAAAAUAAUUUAUUGUAAAAUAAACAAAUUUAACAAUUACUAAAGUAGGCUAUAAUGAUCAGUUACAAUUCAGUAAUAUAUGUAACAAUAAAUGAAUAAAAGCUACCUUAGGGAUAACAGGAUAAUUUUAUUUUAAAGUUCUUAUUAAAAAUAAAGUUUAUCACCUCUAUGUUGAAUUAAGAUA